ACGUACGCUGGCGGCACGCCUAACACAUGCAAGUCGAACGAAGUAGCAAUACUUAGUGGCAGACGGGUGAGUAACAUGUAGGUAUCUGCCCUUUGGCCUGGAAUAACACGAGGAAACUUGUGCUAAUACCGGAUAAGUCUUUACGGAGAAAGCUUUAUGCACCAUUGGAUGAGCCUGCACUUGAUUAGUUUGUUGGUGGGGUAAUGGCCUACCAAGACUGUGAUCAAUAGCUGAUUUGAGAGGAUGAUCAGCCACAUUGGGACUGAGACACGGCCCAAACUCCUACGGGAGGCAGCAGUGGGGAAUCUUGCACAAUGGAGGAAACUCUGAUGCAGCGAUGCCGCGUGAGUGAAGAAGGCCUUUGGGUUGUAAAGCUCUUUCGUCGGGGAAGAAAAUGACUGUACCCGAAUAAGAAGGUCCGGCUAACUUCGUGCCAGCAGCCGCGGUAAUACGAAGGGACCUAGCGUAGUUCGGAAUUACUGGGCUUAAAGAGUUCGUAGGUGGUUGAAAAAGUUAGUGGUGAAAUCCCAGAGCUUAACUCUGGAACUGCCAUUAAAACUUUUCAGCUAGAGUAUGAUAGAGGAAAGCAGAAUUUCUAGUGUAGAGGUGAAAUUCGUAGAUAUUAGAAAGAAUACCAAUUGCGAAGGCAGCUUUCUGGAUCAUUACUGA
rnacentral:rRNA from 2 species